rnacentral:rRNA from 1 species
GGGUUGUGAGGUUAAGCGACUAAGCGUACACGGUGGAUGCCCUGGCAGUCAGAGGCGAUGAAGGGCGUGCUAAUCUGCGAUAAGCGCCGGUAAGGUGAUAUGAACCGUUAUAACCGGCGAUACCCGAAUGGGGAAACCCAGUGUGAUUCGUCACACUAUCAUUAACUGAAUCCAUAGGUUAAUGAGGCGAACCGGGGGAACUGAAACAUCUAAGUACCCCGAGGAAAAGAAAUCAACCGAGAUUCCCCCAGUAGCGGCGAGCGAACGGGGAGGAGCCCAGAGCCUGAAUCAGCAUGUGUGUUAGUGGAAGCGUCUGGAAAGGCGCGCGAUACAGGGUGACAGCCCCGUACACAAAAGCGCAUGUGCUGUGAGCUCGAUGAGUAGGGCGGGACACGUGGUAUCCUGUCUGAAUAUGGGGGGACCAUCCUCCAAGGCUAAAUACUCCUGACUGACCGAUAGUGAACCAGUACCGUGAGGGAAAGGCGAAAAGAACCCCGGCGAGGGGAGUGAAAAAGAACCUGAAACCGUGUACGUACAAGCAGUGGGAGCCCCACCACCAAAGCAUUCUCUGGUGUUGAAGGCCCUGCAAAGCAGCAUCGCGGUGGCGGAGCGUCGUUUGCGACGCCCAACGCACAAAACAAGCGGUGAGUGCUUUGGGGUGGGGUGACUGCGUACCUUUUGUAUAAUGGGUCAGCGACUUAUAUUCUGUAGCAAGGUUAACCGUAUAGGGGAGCCGUAGGGAAACCGAGUCUUAACCGGGCGUUAAGUUGCAGGGUAUAGACCCGAAACCCGGUGAUCUAGCCAUGGGCAGGUUGAAGGUUGGGUAACACUAACUGGAGGACCGAACCGACUAAUGUUGAAAAAUUAGCGGAUGACCUGUGGCUGGGGGUGAAAGGCCAAUCAAACCGGGAGAUAGCUGGUUCUCCCCGAAAGCUAUUUAGGUAGCGCCUCGUGAAUUCAUCUCCGGGGGUAGAGCACUGUUUCGGCUAGGGGGCCAUCCCGGCUUACCAACCCGAUGCAAACUGCGAAUACCGGAGAAUGUUAUCACGGGAGACACACGGCGGGUGCUAACGUCCGUCGUGAAGAGGGAAACAACCCAGACCGCCAGCUAAGGUCCCAAAGUCAUGGUUAAGUGGGAAACGAUGUGGGAAGGCCCAGACAGCCAGGAUGUUGGCUUAGAAGCAGCCAUCAUUUAAAGAAAGCGUAAUAGCUCACUGGUCGAGUCGGCCUGCGCGGAAGAUGUAACGGGGCUAAACCAUGCACCGAAGCUGCGGCAGCGACGCUUAUGCGUUGUUGGGUAGGGGAGCGUUCUGUAAGCCUGUGAAGGUGGCCUGUGAGGGUUGCUGGAGGUAUCAGAAGUGCGAAUGCUGACAUAAGUAACGAUAAAGCGGGUGAAAAGCCCGCUCGCCGGAAGACCAAGGGUUCCUGUCCAACGUUAAUCGGGGCAGGGUGAGUCGACCCCUAAGGCGAGGCCGAAAGGCGUAGUCGAUGGGAAACGGGUUAAUAUUCCCGUACUUGGUGUUACUGCGAAGGGGGGACGGAGAAGGCUAUGUUGGCCGGGCGACGGUUGUCCCGGUUUAAGCGUGUAGG